rnacentral:rRNA from 1 species
UGGCGGACGGGUGAGUAAUGUCUGGGAAACUGCCCGAGGGAGGGGGAUAACUACUGGAAACGGUAGCUAAUACCGCAUAACGUCGCAAGACCAAAGAGGGGGACCUUAGGGCCUCUUGCCAUCGGAUGUGCCCAGAUGGGAUUAGCUAGUAGGUGGGGUAAUGGCUCACCUAGGCGACGAUCCCUAGCUGGUCUGAGAGGAUGACCAGCCACACUGGAACUGAGACACGGUCCAG